UUUGCCCACAAGAUUGGAAGCAGGUGAGGCAUACGGAGGAAAGGCCACUGCCCCGUGGGGGAGGGGCGGUCUGAGGGACCAGGGACCCGGGGGAUGGGGCUGGUUUGCAGAUCAGCUCAUGGACAUCUUCCAAGAAAGUGACAAAGACGGUAAAGUCGACGGUCUGGAAAGCAGAGACUGACCGGGCUGACUACCUGGGAGCCAUUCUGAAGCGCCCCGGGAAGAGAAUCGAAAGCACCGAGACUCCGGACAGCGCCUCUCGGGGGUCCAGGGAGGGGACCGCGAUCUGCUUCAGCACCACGGCUCCGGACAGCUUCCCGCGGGGUUCCCGGCCGGCUUCGUUUCAGCACCAGGGAGCGGACAGCUCCCCCCUGGUGAGAUGGCCAGUCUGUAGGACUGUGGGGGAACGCGCGCCUGCCAAGAUGACGUUGCCGUGCUCUUUCCAGACUUCUGAUCCUCUGUGUCCCCAUUACACUGUGAACUCUAUGAAGGCAGUGAUUAUGUUUGUAUUUUCACUGCUCUGUCCCCAGCACCCAGUUCAGGACCUGGCACACAGCAGGUGCUCAAUAAACAUUUGUUGAAUCAAUAAAGGCAUCAAAGACUAAACCAAUA